rnacentral:rRNA from 1 species
GAUGAACGCUAGCGGCAGGCUUAACACAUGCAAGUCGAGGGGCAGCAUGAGGAGUCAGCAAUGACACCUUGAUGGCGACCGGCGCAAGGGUGCGUAACGCGUGAGCAACCUGCCCGUCAUCGGGGGGAUAACCGGUGGAAACGCCGACUAAUAUCCCAUAGUUCUUUUUAGGGGCAUCCCUUUAAAGAUAAAGGCUUCGGCCGGUGACGGAUGGGCUCGCGUGACAUUAGACAGUAGGCGGGGUAACGGCCCACCUAACCGACGAUGUCUAGGGGUUCUGAGAGGAAGGUCCCCCACACUGGAACUGAGACACGGUCCAGACUCCUACGGGAGGCAGCAGUGAGGAAUAUUGGUCAAUGGGCGGAAGCCUGAACCAGCCGUGCCGCGUGACGGAAUACGGCCCUAUGGGUCUUAAACGUCUUUGGUCCCGGAGCAAUAAGAGCCACGCGUGGCUCGAUGAGAGUACGGGAAGAACAAGCAUCGGCUAACUCCGUGCCAGCAGCCGCGGUAAUACGGGGGAUGCGAGCGUUAUCCGGAUUUAUUGGGUUUAAAGGGUGCGUAGGCGGGGUGGUAAGUCAGCCGUGAAAUGUCCACGCUCAACGUGGAACGUGCGUUUGAUACUGCCGUCCUUGAAUGCGGAUGCCGUGGGAGGAAUGUGUGGUGUAGCGGUGAAAUGCAUAGAUAUCACACAGAACACCGAUUGCGAAGGCAUCUCACGAAUCCGCAAUUGACGCUGAGGCACGAAAGCGCGGGUAUCGAACAGGAUUAGAUACCCUGGUAGUCCGCGCUGUAAACGAUGAUGGCUAACCGCCGGCGACACACUGUCGGUGGCCAAGCGAAAGCGAUAAGCCAUCCACCUGGGGAGUACGGCCGCAAGGCUGAAACUCAAAGGAAUUGACGGGGGCCCGCACAAGCGGAGGAACAUGUGGUUUAAUUCGAUGAUACGCGAGGAACCUUACCCGGGCUCGAACGGCAGGAGAACGACACAGAGAUGUGAAGGUCCUUCGGGACUCCUGUCGAGGUGCUGCAUGGUUGUCGUCAGCUCGUGCUGUGAAGUGUCGGCUUAAGUGCCAUAACGAGCGCAACCCUUGCUUCCGGUUGCCAUCAGGUGAUGCUGGGCACUCCGGAGGGACUGCCACCGCAAGGUGUGAGGAAGGGGGGGAUGACGUCAAAUCAGCACGGCCCUUACGUCCGGGGCGACACACGUGUUACAAUGGCAGGUACAGAGGGAGGCUACCGGGUGACCGGAUGCGGAUCUCGAAAGCCUGUCCCAGUUCGGACUGGAGUCUGCAACUCGACUCCACGAAGUUGGAUUCGCUAGUAAUCGCGCAUCAGCCAUGGCGCGGUGAAUACGUUCCCGGGCCU